UACAGAGGGGGCAAGCGUUAUUCGGAAUUAUUGGGCGUAAAGGGCGCGUAGGCGGCCUGACAAGUGGAUGGUGAAAUCCCUCGGCUUAACCGAGGAACUGCCAUCCAGACUGUUUGGAUUGAGACCGGGAGAGGUGAGUGGAAUUCCCAGUGUAGCGGUGAAAUGCGUAGAUAUUGGGAGGAACACCAGUGGCGAAGGCGGCAUUCUGGACCAUUACUGACGCUGAGGAGCGAAAGCCAGGGGAGCAAACGGG
rnacentral:rRNA from 1 species